rnacentral:rRNA from 1 species
GUGCAUGCUUACAACAUGGCAUUAAUGCACUAGAUCCCAUUAUAACUUUGCAGUUAAGUGUGCUUGUGUUAGAGUAGUACUUGGAUGGGUGACCACCUAGGAAUUUCUAGUAUUUUAUACG